rnacentral:rRNA from 1 species
GACGAACGCUGGCGGCGUGCUUAACACAUGCAAGUCGAACGAAGAGCGAUGGAAGCUUGCUUCUAUCGAUCUUAGUGGCGAACGGGUGGGUAACGCGUAAUCAACCUGCCCUUCAGAGGGGGACAACAGUUGGAAACGACUGCUAAUACCGCAUACGAUCUAAUCUCGGCAUCGAGGAUAGAUGAAAGGUGGCCUCUACAUGUAAGCUAUCACUGAAGGAGGGGAUUGCGUCUGAUUAGCUAGUUGGAGGGGUAACGGCCCACCAAGGCGAUGAUCAGUAGCCGGUCUGAGAGGAUGAACGGCCACAUUGGGACUGAGACACGGCCCAGACUCCUACGGGAGGCAGCAGUGGGGAAUCUUCCGCAAUGGACGAAAGUCUGACGGAGCAACGCCGCGUGAGUGAUGACGGCCUUCGGGUUGUAAAGCUCUGUUAAUCGGGACGAAAGGCCUUCUUGCGAAUAGUGAGAAGGAUUGACGGUACCCGGAAUA